rnacentral:rRNA from 1 species
UACGUAGGGGGCAAGCGUUGUCCGGAAUCAUUGGGCGUAAAGCGCGUGUAGGCGGCUUGGUAAGUCUGCUCUGAAAGCCCGGGGCUCAACCCCGGGAGGCGGGUGGAUACUGUCAAGCUCGAGUCCGGAAGAGGAGUGUGGAAUUCCUGGUGUAGCGGUGAAAUGCGCAGAUAUCUGGAGGAACACCGGUGGCGAAGGCGGCAUCCUGGACCGGUAUUGACGCUGAGGCGCGAAAGCCAGGGGAGCAAACGGG